AUGCCCGAAGAUGCCGCGCCAAUAGCCCCCGCCCCCGCUUCUGAUCCUACCGCUGGUUCUAGUGAUGAUGAGAUAACAGUAGAGGAUGCUUCUUUUGCGCGUACUGAACUCCCCCAAGAUGGCAGUCCACCUGUCGUAACAACUGAUAUGGAAGUUCUCCAUGAUAAAGUUAAGAAGCAAGUCAUUAAAGAAGGCCAUGGGAAGAUACCCUCAAAAUUUUCUACGUGCUUUGUGCAUUACAGAGCAUGGGUACAAAGCUCUAUGCAUAAAUUUGAGGAUACCUGGCAAGAACAGCAUCCAGUUGAAAUUGUCAUCGGAAAAGAGAAAAAGCAAAUGUCUGGUUUGGGUAUUGGUGUUGGUCACAUGAAAAGUGGGGAACGUGCACUGUUGCAUGUUAGCUGGGAGCUAGGCUAUGGGAAAGAAGGAAGCUUUUCAUUCCCGAAUGUCCCUCCAUCAGCAGACCUUAUAUAUGAAGUUGAACUCAUUGGUUUUGAUGAUGCUAAAGAGGGAAAAGCUCGUAGUGACAUGACGGUAGAAGAGAGGAUUGAAGCAGCGGAUAGGAGGAAGCUUGAGGGCAACGAUUACUUUAAAGAGAAGAAAUUUGAGGAGGCUAUGCAGCAAUAUGAGAUGGCUGUUGCGUAUAUGGGAGAUGAUUUCAUGUUUCAGUUGUUUGGGAAGUACAGAGAUAUGGCUUUGGCUGUGAAAAACCCGUGCCAUCUCAACAUGGCUGCUUGCCUGAUCAAACAAAAGAGAUUUGACGAAGCUAUCGCACAGUGUAGCAUUGUGCUGUCAGAGGACGAAACCAACGUGAAAGCGCUGUUCAGACGUGGAAAAGCUAGAGCCGAGCUUGGACAGACAGAAUCAGCGAGGGAGGACUUCCUGAAAGCCAAGAAACACUCCCCGGAAGACAAGGAGAUCAUGCGGGAGCUUCGGUCGCUGGCGGAACAAGAUAAAGCGAUGUACCAGAAGCAGAGGGAGCUAUACAAAGGUCUGUUUGGGCCGAGGCCUCAGCCCAAACCUAAGGCCAAAAAUUUCGCCGUCCUCUUCUGGCAGUGGCUGGUGUCACUGGUCCGUUAUCUUGCCAGGAUGUUCACGCGCAAGAAUGACUAG
rnacentral:rRNA from 1 species